rnacentral:rRNA from 1 species
AUACUGCCAGACUUGGAACCGGGAGAGGUAAGAGGUACUACAGGGGUAGGAGUGAAAUCUUGUAAUCCCUGUGGGACCACCUGUGGCGAAGGCGUCUUACCAGAACGGGUUCGACGGUGAGGGACGAGAGCUGGGGGCACGAACCGGAUUAGAUACCCGGGUAGUCCCAGCCGUAAACGAUGCUCGCUAGGUGUCAGGCAUGGCGCGACCGUGUCUGGUGCCGCAGGGAAGCCGUGAAGCGAGCCACCUGGGAAGUACGGCCGCAAGGCUGAAACUUAAAGGAAUUGGCGGGGGAGCACAACAACGGGUGGAGCCCUGCGGUUUAAUUGGACUCAACGCCGGACAACUCACCGGGGGCGACAGCAAUAUGUAGGCCAAGCUGAAGACUUUGCCUGAAUCGCUGAGGAGAGGUGCAUGG